rnacentral:rRNA from 1 species
AUAUUCUGUGAGCAGGAAAGCAGGGGACCGCAAGGCCUUGCGCUCUUUGAGCGGCCGAUGUCAGAUUAGCUAGUUGGUGAGGUAAAGGCUUACCAAGGCGACGAUCUGUAGCGGGUCUGAGAGGAUGAUCCGCCACACUGGAACUGAGACACGGUCCAGACUCCUACGGGAGGCAGCAGUGGGGAAUUUUGGACAAUGGGGGCAACCCUGAUCCAGCCAUGCCGCGUGAGUGAAGAAGGCCUUCGGGUUGUAAAGCUCUUUCGGCCGGGAAGAAAUCGCAUGGGCCAAUACCCUGUGUGGAUGACGGUACCGGAAUAAGAAGCACCGGCUAACUACGUGCCAGCAGCCGCGGUAAUACGUAGGGUGCGAGCGUUAAUCGGAAUUACUGGGCGUAAAGCGUGCGCAGGCGGUUUUGUAAGACAGGCGUGAAAUCCCCGGGCUUAACCUGGGAACUGCGUUUGUGACUGCAAGGCUAGAGUACGGCAGAGGGGGGUGGAAUUCCACGUGUAGCAGUGAAAUGCGUAGAGAUGUGGAGGAACACCAAUGGCGAAGGCAGCCCCCUGGGUCGAUACUGACGCUCAUGCACGAAAGCGUGGGUAGCAAACAGGAUUAGAUACCCUGGUAGUCCACGCCCUAAACUAUGUCAACUAGGUGUUGGGUGGGUAAAACCAUUUAGUACCGUAGCUAACGCGUGAAGUUGACCGCCUGGGGAGUACGGCCGCAAGGUUAAAACCCAAAGGAAUUGACGGGGACCCGCACAAGCGGUGGAUGAUGUGGAUUAAUUCGAUGCAACGCGAAAAACCUUACCUACCCUUGACAUGCCAGGAACUUGCCAGAGAUGGCUUGGUGCCCGAAAGGGAGCCUGGACACAGGUGCUGCAUGGCUGUCGUCAGCUCGUGUCGUGAGAUGUUGGGUUAAGUCCCGCAACGAGCGCAACCCUUGUCGUUAAUUGCCAUCAUUUAGUUGGGCACUUUAACGAGACUGCCGGUGACAAACCGGAGGAAGGUGGGGAUGACGUCAAGUCCUCAUGGCCCUUAUGGGUAGGGCUUCACACGUCAUACAAUGGUCGGUACAAAGGGUUGCCAAGCCGCGAGGCGGAGCCAAUCCCAGAAAGCCGAUCGUAGUCCGGAUUGCAGGCUGCAACUUGCCUGCAUGAAGUCGGAAUCGCUAGUAAUCGUGGAUCAGCAUGUCACGGUGAAUACGUUCCCGGGUCUUGUACACACCGCCCGUCACACCAUGGGAGCGGGUUCCGCCAGAAGUAGGUAGCCUAACCGCAAGGGGGGCGCUUACCACGGCGGGGUUCGUGACUGGGGUGAAGUCGUAACAAGGUA